rnacentral:rRNA from 1 species
UACGGAGGGUGCAAGCGUUAAUCGGAAUUACUGGGCGUAAAGCGCGCGUAGGCGGCUGAUUAAGUCGGGUGUGAAAGCCCCGGGCUCAACCUGGGAACUGCAUUCGAUACUGGUCGGCUAGAGUACUGAAGAGGGGGGUAGAAUUCCUAGUGUAGCGGUGAAAUGCGUAGAUAUUAGGAGGAAUACCAGUGGCGAAGGCGGCCCCCUGGUCAGAUACUGACGCUGAGGUGCGAAAGCGUGGGGAGCAAACAGG